AUUGAACGCUGGCGGCAGGCCUAACACAUGCAAGUCGAGCGGCAGCGGAAAGUAGCUUGCUACUUUGCCGGCGAGCGGCGGACGGGUGAGUAAUGUCUGGGAAACUGCCUGAUGGAGGGGGAUAACUACUGGAAACGGUGGCUAAUACCGCAUAACGUCGCAAGACCAAAGUGGGGGACAUUCGGGCCUCACGCCAUCGGAUGUGCCCAGAUGGGAUUAGCUAGUAGGUGGGGUAAUGGCUCACCUAGGCGACGAUCACUAGCUGGUCUGAGAGGAUGACCAGCCACACUGGAACUGAGACACGGUCCAGACUCCUACGGGAGGCAGCAGUGGGGAAUAUUGCACAAUGGGCGCAAGCCUGAUGCAGCCAUGCCGCGUGUGUGAAGAAGGCCUUCGGGUUGUAAAGCACUUUCAGCGAGGAGGAAGGCAUCAUACUUAAUACGUGUGGUGAUUGACGUUACUCGCAGAAGAAGCACCGGCUAACUCCGUGCCAGCAGCCGCGGUAACAC
rnacentral:rRNA from 1 species